AUGUCUCUGCACAAGCAUGCACAUGUUUAUGUUAAUGCUAGGCUGCCUUUCAUUUACUUUGCCGUUUUUUAGAUAGGGUGUAGCCUGGGUGUGUCACGGAGGUGAGGUGUGGCUGGGAGUGAGGGAGAGUGAAAAAGAGAGACAGCAUGUGCGGAGAGAUAGACUGAAAGAAUGCAGCGCCGGGGAAAAGAGGAAAGCAACAAGGGUUCCAAGUGCACGUGCAGGGCACUGUAGAGGAGUGCACCACACGUGAAGAGAUCAUGAAACAAUGUCUAUUGCAUAAUGAGAGAAGACACAAGGUGAUAGGGGAGGAGGUUGGAUAAGUGGUCAUAUCGAAUGCUCUGACGGAGGGUGGGCACACACAGGAUAGUAAGGGCCAUGCAGUGUCAUGUCAGGUGCGUUUGAUACCUCACCCGGACACACCCUUUGUCCCGUCUGGUUGUUAAGGGAUGAUUACAGUUAUGAGUCAUCCUGGCGUUCCCUGUUUAUGUUUCUGUGCUGUGAGAGACCUGUACACAUACAUCUGUUUUUGUACUGUCUCUCAUGUUGGAUCACGACACCCUCCAGACAUAAAAUCAUUUAAUAUAUUCAUGUCUCUUUCUAUUCUUUCUUGUACAGUGUUCUUGGAUGAGUUAAACAAUGUUUAAAAAUUCAAACUCAUUACAUUAUUAUUGUUCUCAUUUGAAAUGAGUGGGAGUGCUGGGA